AGAUAAUGGAGUAUAGAUGGAUCAGAUGGAUGAAUUUUACUGUUAGGACAAACUGCUCCUUUUUGGCCCCACUAGUGGGACAUUCCAGAUGUUCCUGUCAUCACCAACUGGAACAAAGAACAAGUCCACUGUUUCAGAGGUGAUACACUCUGGCUCUGUAUGUGUGCUCUGAGUCUGAGGACACACAUUUUGAUCCUGAGGUCAUCUUACUGAAGGGGCUGGAUGCUCGCUGGUUGGAUAUCCCCAUUCGAAAAACAAAAGAGGUGGGAACAUGACGUAUGACAUCUGCCACAUGACUGACUGACCUGGAAGAGGAUCCUUCUGCUGCUUUUCAAAUCCAAAUCAUGGGUUUAUAGAUCAGGUUAUAUGACCUCUGACACCACCACCUGUCCGUGAGGACGCAGACACCAAGUAACAGUGAGUCCAGAUGAAAGGUAGAUCACAAAAAACCAAAACAAAUACACUGGCAGACUUACUGUAAAUUCUGUGUGAUUUAGGAAAGAGAAAGGUUUAUGUUCCUACAGAAAGAAAAUUUGACACACUCCAUAAAUUUGCUUAAAUGUUCAAUAAAAUAAGAUUUUUUAAGACUAUUCAAAUAACAAAAAUGUAUUUAUAUCUAUAUUAAAAAACCAAACAGUCUUGGACAAUGUUAAAACCAUCUUGAUCUUUGUGAAUAAACUAUGAUGUCUGUUAGACUACAGCCAUACUACAGGCUGGGCUGACCAAGAGUGAAGGGAUAACCAAAGAUUAAUCUUCCGGGGAUCAAUAAGCUGUGCACAAAGUUUCAUAGUAGUCCAUCAAGUAGGUUCCAAGACAUUUCAGCCUGGAGGAAAGUGGUCAAGAUGAUAGGAGAUAAACAAUACCUACUUCGAUGACACCGACACACAAGCAGUAUGGAGACAUGUUAUGUUUUUUUUCGGUUUUUCGUCUGAAGAAGUGGUCCCCACUUAGUUCAAUUGUAUUGGAUUUGGCUGCAAGACUAUUUACCCCUGAGAGACGCCUUAAGUAUUUUGUUGACUCAAACACUUCACCCACCACUCCAAAAAAAAAAAAAAUCAGUUUCAUAAUGAAUAUCUGGGGGGAAAAAUAUAGUAUAUAUGGUGUAUGUUAUAUUAUAUAUUACAUAGUAGCCUAUUGUGUUGGAGAGAGCCACAUGUCUAAAGGUUUAGUGUUACACAUUCACCCACAUCACUACCACAUGUUUAGUUACUUUAAUUUGCAGUCACUUAAGAUCACAAAACAGUUCAGGUUUCGAAUACGUUCACUAGCACCUUUACAACAAAUUGUUUUCAACAUUAAUCACACAUGUAGUUAAUCUUAUUUUUAAUGGAUAGUUUAAAUAGGGGGGGAUAGGGGGGGAUCUUUGAGAUUUAGUUACUGUUUCUGUUCUUGUCAGGUUCGAUGAAGCAGGUGGACCCAGGAUGCAGAGUUUAAACAAAAAGUGUCCUUUUAAUAGGUGAAUGUCCAACAGGAACUAAACAACAAACAAAGGAAUCUCGAAAUGUCAAAACAGAAAAAAACAAAAGCACAUAGGGGAAAACACCAGAAGCUUAUGUGGAGAUGCAGAGGACAGGAGCUCAGGAGACAAGGGACACAAAAAGCACAGGAGAUUACGACAGGACAUAAGACAGACAUUUAGACAACGAACCGACAAGGACAAGGGGAAGCACAGACACUUAUAUACACACAGGGAAGGCAGGGGCAAUUGAACACAGGUGAAACACAUGAGGACUGGUGCAGACAAUCACAGAGACAGGAAGUGAAGAAAACACACUAGGAACAGAGCCCUACAAAAUAAAACAGGAAACAGAACACAGGGGAAACAUGCGACACCGAAACAAAGCAUAUACAAACAUAAACACAAGGAUAUACAAGAAACACAAGGUAAUAAUUAAACAGAAAACACUCUUAAUAAAGAG